UGCCUGCGUGGUGUCUGCACACAGCAGUGCGUUCCUGCGGGUGCUCGAAGGACAGUGCGACAGAAACCCAGUAACUGGCAUCGUUGGUUUUCUUGCUUUGUGCACGGUAAACCUGGUAUUUCUGUUGAUACAGUG